rnacentral:rRNA from 1 species
AGAGUUUGAUCAUGGCUCAGAUUGAACGCUGGCGGCAGGCCUAAGACAUGCAAGUCGAGCGAGAAAGCCCUUCGGGGUGAGUACAGCGGCGGACGGGUGAGUAACGCGUAGGAAUCUACCUAGUAGUGGGGGACAACUCGUGGAAACGCGAGCUAAUACCGCAUACGCCCUACGGGGGAAAGCGGGGGAUCUUCGGACCUCGUGCUAUUAGAUGAGCCUGCGUAAGAUUAGCUAGUUGGUGGGGUAAUGGCCUACCAAGGCGACGAUCUUUAGCUGGUCUGAGAGGAUGAUCAGCCACACCGGGACUGAGACACGGCCCGGACUCCUACGGGAGGCAGCAGUCGGGAAUAUUGCGCAAUGGGCGAAAGCCUGACGCAGCCAUGCCGCUUGUGUGAAGAAGGCCCUAGGGUUGUAAAGCACUUUCAAUUGGGAGGAAAUAGCUAAUNGGUUAAUAUCCUU